UACGUAGGGUCCGAGCGUUGUCCGGAAUUAUUGGGCGUAAAGAGCUCGUAGGUGGUUUGUCGCGUUGUUCGUGAAAACUCACAGCUUAACUGUGGGCGUGCGGGCGAUACGGGCAGACUUGAGUACUGCAGGGGAGACUGGAAUUCCUGGUGUAGCGGUGGAAUGCGCAGAUAUCAGGAGGAACACCCGUGGCGAAGGCGGUUCUCUGGGACGGUACUGACGCUGAGACGCGAAAGCGUGGGGAGCGAACAGG
rnacentral:rRNA from 1 species